ACUUCAGAUAAGUUAUUAUAAAUGCAUGUAGAGCUGCAUGGUAAUAAAAAAUAAAUUAACAGUUUCAGAAGCAGUUAGCUGGAGAUUAGAAACACCAACAUCUUCUUCUAGACAGUGUCUCUUGGUAUAAACUUCUGUGUCUUAUUUUCUUUCUAUUUUACUUUUUAAAAAAUCCAGAGAAUGAUUCAAAAUACAGAAAUCAUCAUUCAUGAUAAUUUUCUCAAAUAUGAGAAUUCACUGGAUGGUAAAAGUUGGAGGAAUCCGUGACUCUCAGAGAGUCCCAUGAGUAGAGGAAAUACCUCAAUCAGUUGUUUUUAGCAUCUCUUGGGUCAUAGAUCUAUUUGAAACUCUUUUUAGAAAAAAAUGCAUAGACAUGCUUACACAAUUUUGCAUUUGUUUUUAGGGGGUUUCCUAUAUAUUGCCUCUAUAAUGUGUGUAGACCCAAGUUACAAGUAGUUGAUCUAAAUGGAUCCUCAGUUGAUCUAAAUGAAUGUUGUAUUUUAUUUUAGUGAGGGAUACUUUUCUUAGAAAACGCUGAUGUGAGGGAGCACAAAUGAGCACACUAGAAAGAAUAUCAUUAUUUUAGUUAACAAUGAGGAGCUAGAGCUUCCUCAACGGACUCAUGCUUUUCAUUUUUGUCAUUAACAGGAUCUAAAUCCAAUACUUCACUGGGCAAGAACGUGAACUUUCAAUCUUAUAACUGGGAGCACUGUGAGAGUGACUUUGUCAGCUGCGCAGCUCUGAAGUAUCAAUUUCAACCGAAGCAUCUUGGAACAGUUCACUGUGAAAAAUGUGACCAAGAAGUUCUGAGGGAGGAGCUCCAAGAUCACAGUGAGGUUGGCUCUUACACAAAGGGGACAGAUACCUGAGGACGCUCUCAGAUUGACAUAGUGUUUGCCAGUGUGAACAAUUGCAAGAGAAGAGUUGGAUGCUCUGAGAAAAAACUUGAAGCAAACUUCACAUGGAAACAGGUCUGGGCGAAUGUGUUUCUGUGAAAUAUUUUAUUCCACAGGUGGAAAAGACUGUUAAAGAAAACUCUUAGCUUGGCACAAAAGCGCAUUAUCGAGUAAUAAUUACUUGUGUAUGCUAACGCUAAAUUCUUGGGAGAAAACUUGGAGAGAUUGCCCUCGGGGCAUUUUUUUAAGACUUCUACUAAACUUUUGAUGAAAUUUCAUGAAUUUGAGAUCCUAUGAUUUAAAGGCUAAUUAUGUGUUCUCCAAUGCACCUUUAUUUAAUUUCCAUCCCUUUAGCUGAAAUCUGACUCUGAGGAAUGCAAACAGGAAGGGGUGGGAAAGGUGGCUCCAAGUACUGAAGAGUCUUUGAGGCACAGUUGUCUGACAAACACUUCCUUUAACAAUGUCCUCGGGUCUCUUGCCGAUGUGGGUUUGCUGACAUUACACACAAUAUCUCUUUGCUCCAAAUGUUGAA
rnacentral:lncRNA from 1 species